CACGUAGGGUGCGAGCGUUGUCCGGAAUCAUUGGGCGUAAAGCGUGCGUAGACGGUUAUGUAAGUCGGGUGUGAAAGCCCCGGGCUCAACCUGGGAAUGCCAUUCGAGACUGCAUAGCUAGGGUGCGGAAGAGGGAAGCGGAAUUUCCGGUGUAGCGGUGAAAUGCGUAGAUAUCGGAAGGAACACCAGUGGCGAAAGCGGCUUCCUGGUCCAGCACCGACGUUCAGGCACGAAAGCGUGGGGAGCAAACAGG
rnacentral:rRNA from 1 species